AAGUCAGAUGUGAAAGCCCGGGGCUCAACCUCGGAAUUGCAUUUGAAACUGGCAGACUAGAGUACUGUAGAGGGGGGUAGAAUUUCAGGUGUAGCGGUGAAAUGCGUAGAGAUCUGAAGGAAUACCGGUGGCGAAGGCGGCCCCCUGGACAGAUACUGACACUCAGAUGCGAAAGCGUGGGGAGCAAACAGGAUUAGAUACCCUGGUAGUCCACGCCGUAAACGAUGUCUACUUGGAGGUUGUGGCCUUGAGCCGUGGCUUUCGGAGCUAACGCGUUAAGUAGACCGCCUGGGGAGUACGGUCGCAAGAUUAAAACUCAAAUGAAUUGACGGGGGCCCGCACAAGCGGUGGAGCAUGUGGUUUAAUUCGAUGCAACGCGAAGAACCUUACCUACUCUUGACAUCCAUAGAACUUUCCAGAGAUGGAUUGGUGCCUUCGGGAACUAUGAGACAGGUGCUGCAUGGCUGUCGUCAGCUCGUGUUGUGAAAUGUUGGGUUAAGUCCCGCAACGAGCGCAACCCUUAUCCUUGUUUGCCAGCACUUCGGGUGGGAACUCCAGGGAGACUGCCGGUGAUAAACCGGAGGAAGGUGGGGACGACGUCAAGUCAUCAUGGCCCUUACGAGUAGGGCUACACACGUGCUACAAUGGCGCAUACAGAGGGCGGCCAACUUGCAAAAGUGAGCGAAUCCCAAAAAGUGCGUCGUAGUCCGGAUUGGAGUCUGCAACUCGACUCCAUGAAGUCGGAAUCGCUAGUAAUCGUGGAUCAGAAUGCCACGGUGAAUACGUUCCCGGGCCUUGUACACACCGCCCGUCACACCAUGGGAGUGGGCUGCAAAAGAAGUGGGUAGUUUAACCUUCGG
rnacentral:rRNA from 1 species